CAGCAGCCGCGGUAAUACGCAGGGGGCUAGCGUUGCUCGGAAUUACUGGGCGUAAAGGGAGCGUAGGCGGGUCGUUUAGUCAGAGGUGAAAUCCCGGGGCUCAACCUCGGAACUGCCUUUGAUACUGGCGACCUUGAGUAUGGGAGAGGUAAGCGGAACUCCGAGUGUAGAGGUGAAAUUCGUAGAUAUUCGGAAGAACACCAGUGGCGAAGGCGGCUUACUGGCCCAUUACUGACGCUGAGGCUCGAAAGCGUGGGGAGCAAACAGGAUUAGAUACCCCGGUAGUCCCUGUCUCUUAUAC
rnacentral:rRNA from 1 species